GGAAUAUUUUUGAUAGGUGAAGAUUAUGUUCUCACUAACAAAAAAACGUGGAACAGAUUUUUGCUGCAGUAACAUGGUAGCUAGAUAUAGUCACAAAAAUUAUUUGGACGAUAAACCGCUUGGGCAAACCGGGUGAUGUAGCCAGGGGCCUGGCUGUCAGAGGGCAAGCCAGACCAGUCAGAACAUGACAAAGACCGUACCUGGAAUAAGCCCCCCCCCCCCCACGUCUGUUCAAUGGCAUCAGGUUGGCAAUGUGGCGAGUAAUGGGGAGCUAACGCAGAAUGCAUCAUUGAAAGGCAGCCACUCUGUCUAGCUGUGUGACCAGCGAGACAUCCCCCUGAUAUUUCUAUAGAACACCGUUCCAACGCCAGAGCGGGCCCUUUUCCAAACCCAGGCAGAGACCAACAGACUAAAGGCUCAGGGUUCCAUGAUGUCUGCUGUGGCAUGUCUCUGUUCCAAAAAUCACUGUCGCCAUGGCCCUGACAGUUAUGCUAUGGUUUGUCCAAUAGUGCCAGUAGUAGUCACUAUGAAAAUCUGCCUUGUGCCUACACAUCAAUUCCUUUAUAUAUUGAAAAUACUAACUAAACUGGUCCCUGUC